rnacentral:tRNA from 1 species
AAGACUUUAAGUUAAAUAAAACUUGUAGCCUUCAAAGUUAUUAAUAUUCGAUAAGGAUAAGUCUUA